ACCCUACUGGCCUAAUGGUUAAGGCGUAAGACUUCUAAUCUUAAGAUUAGCGGUUCGAGUCCGCUGUGGGGUU